rnacentral:rRNA from 1 species
UACGUAGGGUGCGAGCGUUAAUCGGAAUUACUGGGCGUAAAGCGUGCGCAGGCGGUUUUGUAAGCCAGAUGUGAAAUCCCCGGGCUCAACCCGGGAACUGCGUCCGAUACUGGCAGGCUUGAAUCCGGGAGAGGGAUGUGGAAUUCCAGGUGUAGCGGUGAAAUGCGUAGAUAUCGGGAGGAACACCAGUGGCGAAGGCGACUUCCUGGCCUGUUCUUGACGCUGAGGCGCGAAAGCUAGGGUAGCAAACGGG